rnacentral:rRNA from 1 species
CUCCUUUGACGUUAGCGGCGGACGGGUGAGUAACACGUGGGUAACCUACCUAUAAGACUGGGAUAACUUCGGGAAACCGGAGCUAAUACCGGAUAAUAUUUCGAACCGCAUGGUUCGAUAGUGAAAGGUGGUUUUGCUAUCACUUAUAGAUGGACCCGCGCCGUAUUAGCUAGUUGGUAAGGUAACGGCUUACCAAGGCGACGAUACGUAGCCGACCUGAGAGGGUGAUCGGCCACACUGGAAAUGAGACACGGUCCAGACUCCUACGGGAGGCAGCAGCC